rnacentral:rRNA from 1 species
AACGGGAAGAGCCCAGCGCUAAAUCCUGUUGCUCUAACGGGUAACGGGAGGUGUAGCGUAAAGUAGGCGGAUUUCCAUGUUGGCUGUUGAUUUAAAUUCUCCUUGACUGGGGUUCCAGAGAAGGUGAAAGGCCUGUUCAAUUGACGRUCAAUUGUGGAUUCUCCGUCCGACUUGGAGUCGGGUUGUUUGGGAACACAGCCCAAAUUUGGUGGUAAACUUCAUCUAAGGCUAAAUAUGGCCACGAAACCGAUAGCAAACAAGUACCGUGAGGGAAAGUUGAAAAGUACUUUGAAGAGAGAGUUCAAGAGGACGUGAAACCGGUAGGAUGGAAACGGAUAAAGCCAACGGACAAGCCCGUAUUCAGCUAGUCGGUUGCGUGCGACAUUCGCGGGUGCCCGAAAGGGUACACGUUGGUGUGCAUGGUGUGCAAUUGGCUAGUGCAUUUGCGGGUGAUGUGCGCCGAGGCGUGUGAUCUUGCGCGUUACGAGCCGCCCGGAGAGGCCACGCUUCGCGGUGUGGUACCUACGUGGCCGGUGAGUGGUGUCGGGGUUGCACGUAGUGUGUAUGGGUUAGGUGCAAACGCACUACCGUAUUGACGGUUCGGCGUCUACGCAAGUCGCAUGUCGACGAGUUUGGAUGUUCGGGCUUUUUGAAAUGCGGUCGUGAUCUGGCCUAUCCUCGGUGUAAAAGUUGGUCAUUUCUCCGACCCGUCUUGAAACACGGACCAAGGAGUCUAGCGUGUACGCGAGUCAUUGGGCGUUGAAAACCCAUAGGCGUAAUGAAAGUGAAUGGCUUCGUACGGAGUCUGAUAUGCGAUCCGUUGCGCCACGGUGUGGCGGAGCAGCAUAGCCCCAUCUCGACUGCUUGCAGUGGGGUGGAGGUAGAGCGUAUUCGCUGGUACCCGAAAGAUGGUGAACUAUGCCUGAGCAGGAUGAAGCCAGAGGAAACUCUGGUGGAAGUCCGAAGCGCUUCUGACGUGCAAAUCGAUCGUCUA